GGGGUAAUAGCUCAGUUGGGAGAGCGCCUGCCUUACAAGCAGGAUGUCGGGGGUUCAAGUCCCUCUUACCCCA
rnacentral:tRNA from 1 species